ensembl:lncRNA
AGAGUCAGACAUGUUUGAAGUGCCUCCUGGUAGUCCUCAUUACAGUAUCUCUUCUUGUUUGGGGCACCUCAGUGUGAUCCCACUGUUAGUCCAGCAGGUAGCUGGGUGUAAGUUACAGUUAUGGGUGCUUGCAUGAGGAAGAUAAGCGUAAAUCUUUCUUUUCCCCUAGCUGUACUGUGUAAAGUUAGCGUGGUUUGUUUUAUUUUAUGAAAUCCUAUAAUGCGUUACAGUGAUUUCCAGUAUGUGGCACUAAUACCCAAGGCAGAGUUGGUGGAGGAGGGUGAAUUAAUUGCAGUUGGGAAAAGCAGCUAAGAAAAAUGGGUAUUAGAGCACCAGGGGACUUUCCUUCAGCUUGUGCUUGGGUUUUGUUUUUGUAAAGGUUCAUCACAUCCCUGUGGUAACUGAUGCUUAGGGGCAGAUCCUGCUUUCCACAAGAGCAGCUUCUGAUGGAUUUGUGUGCCACACACAAGACAGCCCUCUGCUGCUUCAUUUUCUCUGUAACUUUUGCAGCACUGAAGAUAUCCCAGUGAUGCCAGCAGAAGAUGUGCUGGAGUACAGAGGCGUGUGGCUGUGCAGCAUGGGGAGAGGGCAUUCCUGUGUGUGACCAGUUUUUCCUGCAAAGCAACUGCUUGGUGCUGAUAGUGAGAACUGUAUGGCAACGUGUGCUGGAAGUCUUGCUGAUAUCUGAAAGCCUCAGGAUUUGACUGAACUGCCACCACGCAUGUCAUGCAGAGCAUCAGCUGAAGCACAGAGAAGUCACUGCCCUGUUUACUGAGAGAGGUCAACCCUCUAUAAGCAGAGUUGCUGACAGAAUGGUAAAAUAUCAUCUGUCCUGCUCCAGCUAUGUGACCGAGCAAGCAAAGGGAUUUGGGCACGUUGUCUCUUCAUGUAUAUAAACAUAGUCUGUGUAAUCCUACCUAAUAGGGCAAUUAAACAUUAUCAGUAAAACAAGUGAGCUUUCAGGCCUCCGGCUCCUCAUAAGGUUAUAAGGAAAAUUGAAGUGAGCUGGCUUACUUCCUAGCAAGGGGUUGAUCACCAUUUUAGUUCCUAGAUCUGAAGGGAAAGAUGGAAAUAUGAGGGGAAAAAGAGGUGGGUUAGCAUUUCUCACCUGAAUGGCUGUAUGGAUUGCAGAAGUAGGAGUGCUGCCCAUGAUAAACAAAGAAUGAGGACAAAACAAAAGACAAGAAGUAUUCCUCCUGUGGGAGGGUUCUAAUUUAGCCAGUGCUGAGAACAUGGAUGAAAGAAAAACAGUGUUGCUACUGUAGAGGUGUCAAGAAAGUGGCUUGCUAUGUCAGUACAUUAAUGUUGAAGUCUAGCAACUUAGUUUUUCUUUAGUUUUCCUGAAGUCCAUGAAAAGGUUCCUGUGAUUCAUUAGUGCCAAUGGGGGGGAUUCCCUCUGGAUCUUUUUGUCUCUUGGUUACCUGCAUUUUUUUUCCUUGCCUCCUGAAGUAUGAUUACUUAUUGUAUAUGAUUACUUCUUGUAUAUCCUGAGGUGGUUUGGGAAGGAAUUAGAUAAUGGGCUGAUGAAAGGAGGGGACUUUCUGGAACAUGGAAAGUACCACUGAUAAUGAACUUUGCAUUCUUCUGGGACUGAGAAAAGCAUGCAUGGACUUUGGUUGUACUUUUAGCCA